AGUGAACGCUGGCGGUAGGCCUAACACAUGCAAGUCGAACGGCAGCACAGGAGAGUUUGCUCUCUGGGUGGCGAGUGGCGGACGGGUGAGGAAUACAUCGGAAUCUACCUUUUCGUGGGGGAUAACGUAGGGAAACUUACGCUAAUACCGCAUACGACCUACGGGUGAAAGUGGGGGACCGCAAGGCCUCACGCGAUUAGAUGAGCCGAUGUCCGAUUAGCUAGUUGGCGGGGUAAUGGCCCACCAAGGCGACGAUCGGUAGCUGGUCUGAGAGGAUGAUCAGCCUCACUGGAACUGAGACACGGUCCAGACUCCUACGGGAGGCAGCAGUGGGGAAUAUUGGACAAUGGGCGCAAGCCUGAUCCAGCCAUACCGCGUGGGUGAAGAAGGCCUUCGGGUUGUAAAGCCCUUUUGUUGGGAAAGAAAUCCUGUCGAUUAAUACUCGGUGGGGAUGACGGUACCCAAAGAAUAAGCACCGGCUAACUUCGUGCCAGCAGCCGCAGUAACAC
rnacentral:rRNA from 1 species